AUUGAACGCUGGCAGCAGGCCUAACACAUGCAAGUCGAACGAGUGGCGGACGGGUGAGUAAUGUCUGGGAAACUGCCUGAUGGAGGGGGAUACCUACUGGAAACGGUAGCUAAUACCGCAUACCAUCAGAUGUUCCCCGCUGGGAUUAGCUAGUUGGUGGGGUAACGUCGCACCAAGGCGACGAUCCCUAGCUGGUCUGAGAGGAUGACCAGCCACACUGGAACUGAGACACGGUCCAGACUCCUACGGGAGGCAGCAGUGGUGAAUAUUGCACAAUGGGCGCAAGCCUGAUGCAGCCAUGCCGCGUGUAUGAAGAAGGCCUUCGGGUUUUAAAGUACUUUCAGCGGGGAGGCUUUAUCUGAAGAAGAAGCACCGGCUAACUCCGUGCGCGCAGCCGCGGUAAUUC
rnacentral:rRNA from 1 species